rfam:Oryza glumipatula chromosome 6, whole genome shotgun sequence.
UUUAAGUGUAACUGGGUUUACAUGUCGUUUGACCGUUUGUUUUAUUUAAAUUUUUCUGAUGAUUAGUAUUUCUAUUGUUAUUAGAUGAUAAAACAUAAAUAAUACUUUAUGUGUGACUUAUUUUUUAACUUUUUUAUAAAGUUUUAAAUAAGACAGAUGAUUAAACGUUGAAUACUGAAACCUAUAACUACGUUUAAA